rnacentral:lncRNA from 1 species
GGCAAUGUACAUCACGUAUAACAUUCUAAGAAUCCGCACAUCACAUGCACGAGACUUACAAUUCCAUAAAAAAAUCGGAUCGUAGGAUCUAACCCAGACUUGUCACACAAGUCUUAAGGCCAUGAAAUUUCAUGUUAGGGUUUGAUCAUGGACAAGAUAACAUUUAUUCUUCUCCAAAGAUGCACCAAAACAGCAAUUAAACAUCAAGUAAAAAUCAAAUUUUGACAUAACAUGAAUUUGAUC